rnacentral:rRNA from 1 species
UACAUGGGGUGCAAACGUUGCUCGGAAUCAUUGGGCGUAAAGCGCACGUAGGCGGUUCGUUAUGUCGGAUGUGAAAGCCCUCGGCUUAACCGGGGAAGUGCAUCCGAAACUGGCGAGCUUGAGUACUAAAGAGGGUCGCGGAAUUCCCGGUGUAGAGGUGAAAUUCGUAGAUAUCGGGAGGAACACCAGCGGCGAAGGCGGCGACCUGGACGGAUAUUGACGCUGAGGUGCGAAAGCGUGGGGAGCAAACAGG